rnacentral:rRNA from 1 species
UAUCAGUAAGCGGAGGAAAAGAAACUAACCAGGAUUCUCCUAGUAACGGCGAGUGAACGGAGAUUAGCCCAUCACCGAAGUCUAUUCACGUUUGUGGACAGGACAAUGUGGUGUUUAAGCAUGCGCCUGGGAUCGUUGACCUGCCCUAAGUCCAACUCCGAUUGCGGCAUUGGAUAUUGUCCAAAGCGGGUGAAAGACCCGUUCGGGCAGGUAUAUUUGUCUUUAUUAACGAUUCCUUGAUGCGUGUGCUAUCGAGUCGGAUUGCUUGAGAAUGCAGUCCAAAGUGGGUGGUAAACUCCAUCCAAGGCUAAAUACUGGCACGAGUCCGAUAGUAGACAAGUACCGUGAGGGAAAGUUGAAAAGUACUCUGAAGAGAGAGUAAAUAGUACGUGAAACCGCUUGCAGAGAAUCAGUUGGAGUCAAGCUUCAUGCUUGGAGGAUUAUCGUCCGGUCUAUAUUGUGUCAGGAUGUGGGGUUAGGCAACUUGGAAUAAGUUGGACGCAUCUGAUGCGUUUCAAGUCUUUCUGGGGAGCUUGAUUGUCCGUGCCCCUAUCUCCUCGAUCGGAUGACGAAUCUUCCUGUGCAUAAAUCACGGUUGAUAGUGGUUGUGUGCAUUGUGACUUUCUAACAGUGCUUUAGUCAGCUUUUGUUGGCUGGGUGCUGAAGGGAAGGUGUUGUCAUCGGUUGUUCUAAUCGAUGGCGAUUAUUAUGGUCUCGACCAUCUGGUUGUCAUAAUAAUGCAUCACCGCUAUUGCAUGUAUAGUGAUGGACCUAUGGGUUUGUCGCUGGUCAAGACCGUGAUUCUGAGGUAGACUUUCCAUCUGA